CGGGUGAGUGUAGGAUCCUGAGCUGUGUCCCCCGGCGCCCUGGGCUCCGGGGCCUGCGCUGCUGGAAUCGCGUUCCCGGGGCCGCAGCUCCCG
rnacentral:pre_miRNA from 1 species